rnacentral:rRNA from 1 species
GAUGAACGCUGGCUACAGGCUUAACACAUGCAAGUCGAGGGGAAACGACGGGGAAGCUUGCUUCCCCGGGCGUCGACCGGCGCACGGGUGAGUAACGCGUAUCCAACCUGCCUCUGACUGAGGGAUAACCCGUCGAAAGUCGGCCUAAUACCUCAUGGCAUCGUCUGCGGGCAUCCAACGACGAUUAAAGAUUUCAUCGGUCAGAGAUGGGGAUGCGUCUGAUUAGCUUGUUGGCGGGGUAACGGCCCACCAAGGCGACGAUCAGUAGGGGUUCUGAGAGGAAGGUCCCCCACAUUGGAACUGAGACACGGUCCAAACUCCUACGGGAGGCAGCAGUGAGGAAUAUUGGUCAAUGGGCGAGAGCCUGAACCAGCCAAGUAGCGUGCAGGAUGACGGCCCUAUGGGUUGUAAACUGCUUUUAUGCGGGGAUAAAGUGAGGGACGUGUCCUUCACUGCAGGUACCGCAUGAAUAAGGACCGGCUAAUUCCGUG